UGGGGAAUUUUGGACAAUGGGGGAAACCCUGAUCCAGCCAUCCCGCGUGUGCGAUGAAGGCCUUCGGGUUGUAAAGCACUUUUGGCAGGUAAGAAACGUCAUGGGUUAAUACCCCGUGAAACUGACGGUACCUGCAGAAUAAGCACCGGCUAACUACGUGCCAGCAGCCGCGGUAAUACGUAGGGUGCAAGCGUUAAUCGGAAUUACUGGGCGUAAAGCGUGCGCAGGCGGUUCGGAAAGAAAGAUGUGAAAUUUCAGAGCUCAACUUUGGAACUGCAUUUUUAACUACCGGGCUAGAGUGUGUCAGAGGGAGGUGGAAUUCCGCGUGUAGCAGUGAAAUGCGUAGAUAUGCGGAGGAACACCGAUGGCGAAGGCAGCCUCCUGGGAUAACACUGACGCUCAUGCACGAAAGCGUGGGGAGCAAACAGG
rnacentral:rRNA from 1 species